UACGGGGGGGGCAAGCGUUGUUCGGAUUCAUUGGGCGUAAAGGGUGCGUAGGCGGCGCGGUAAGUCGGGUGUGAAAUUUCGAGGCUUAACUUCGAAACUGCAUUCGAUACUGCCGUGCUUGAGGACUGGAGAGGAGACUGGAAUUUACGGUGUAGCGGUGAAAUGCGUAGAUAUCGUAAGGAAGACCAGUGGCGAAGGCGGGUCUCUGGACAGUUCCUGACGCUGAGGCACGAAGGCCAGGGGAGCAAACGGG
rnacentral:rRNA from 1 species